rnacentral:rRNA from 1 species
GACGAACGCUGGCGGCGUGCCUAAUACAUGCAAGUAGAACGCACAGUUUAUACCGUAGCUUGCUACACCAUAGACUGUGAGUUGCGAACGGGUGAGUAACGCGUAGGUAACCUGCCUGGUAGCGGGGGAUAACUAUUGGAAACGAUAGCUAAUACCGCAUAAUAUUAAUUAUUGCAUGAUAAUUAAUUGAAAGGUGCAAUUGCACCACUACCAGAUGGACCUGCGUUGUAUUAGCUAGUAGGUGAGGUAACGGCUCACCUAGGCGACGAUACAUAGCCGACCUGAGAGGGUGAUCGGCCACACUGGGACUGAGACACGGCCCAGACUCCUACGGGAGGCAGCAGUAGGGAAUCUUCGGCAAUGGACGAAAGUCUGACCAAGCAACGCCGCGUGAGUGAAGAAGGUUUUCGGAUCGUAAAGCUCUGUUGUAAGAGAAGAACGGGUGUGAGAGUGGAAAGUUCACACUGUGACGGUAUCUUACCAGAAAGGGACGGCUAACUACGUG